CCUGAGAAACCCAAAAGAUCGAAUGGGGAGAUUCAUCGUCAGCGCAUUUUGUAUAUAUGUAAGUUAUGAUGCGGGUUACUACUUGUAGUAUUGCCUGCACAUUCUUAUAUAUUUAAUUGCAAGAUGAUGUCGGCGUGCACUUCUCCCCUAGUAGGACGUCGCGACCCGUUGAGUGUUGGUCUACGACUCAAGUGUGUAGCCUUUAGUGUAUUUUUUCCAAAAUUACAUUAAAGACCCUUGGUGUUUUCUGACCAGCUGCUCGGCGGUACUCGUACGGUAUUUAGCCGCAUAAACACAAUAUGCGUCCAAUCCGUCGCAAGCGAGGCAAGUUUUUGGUAGUACGGACCUAGUGCCGUCGCUGAAGCUAGCCAGCUGUUGGUUGUUACGGUUAUCUGGGACUGGCUAAAAUCAAAUUACCGGUCGGCGAUGCUACUGCUUUGGGUACUUUCAGGACCCGUCUUGAAACACGGACCAAGGAGUCUAACAUGUGCGCGAGUCAUUGGGUUAUUUUAAGUAAUCUAAACCUAAAGGCAUAAUGAAAGUAAAGGUUGGCCUUGCGUCAACCGAGGGAGGAUGAGUUGUGUUAAGAUACAAUUCCGCACUCCCGGGGCGUCUCAUUCUCAUUACGAGAAGAGGCGCACCUAG
rnacentral:rRNA from 1 species